CAGGAGUUUUUUGACAAACUGCUGCUCCAACUUCAGGAAGGCUUUUGAGGAUCUUCCUAAUCAGAUUGAGUUUUGAUUUUUGGAGCAGAGAGUCGCGAGGAGAAGAUGAUCCAGGUCCUGCCUGAGUGGAUACUGUUAGAGGCCAGAUGAUUGCGUGGCUAAAUCAGAACCUCAGACUUGCUGUGAUCAUCUAUAGGGUAAUCAGAUUACCCUUGAGGUAUUUCAUGUUUCCUCAUGCUUUUAGAUUUAUUUUAAAAUUAAUAUCAGAUAAUAAAAUUAGAUCUAGAGAUUUAGAUCUGA
rnacentral:lncRNA from 1 species